AAAAGGACAAACCCUGGGUUUCCGUGUCCAACGUUUGACCGUCCGUCUUAUUUGAAAAAAAUAUAAAAAAAUUAAAAAGACAAGUCACGCAUAAAGUAUUAAUCAUGUUUUAUCAUCUAACAACAAUGAAAAUACUAACUAUAAAAAAAUUUCAUAUAAGACGGACAAUCAAACGUUGGACACGGAAAUCUAGGGUUUGUCUUUUU
rnacentral:pre_miRNA from 1 species